rnacentral:lncRNA from 1 species
AUGGGUGUGCUCCUCAGAGUCAUUCAUUCAGCCAGAAGACUGACAGGAACCCCAAGACCUGAGACCCAGGACAACAGCUGUGUGUGCACGGGUGCACACACACCUUUGGAGGGCAGAGUAAUUGGCAAGACCAGCAGCAUGAAAGUGUCUGAAGCAGCAACAAGGAGCCAGUGGUUGGACUCUGGAGAACUCCACCAGCAGAAGUUCAGUCCCUGA